AGUGGGGAAUCUUGCGCAAUGGGCGAAAGCCUGACGCAGCCAUGCCGCGUGAAUGAUGAAGGUCUUAGGAUUGUAAAAUUCUUUCACCGGGGACGAUAAUGACGGUACCCGGAGAAGAAGCCCCGGCUAACUUCGUGCCAGCAGCCGCGGUAAUACGAAGGGGGCUAGCGUUGCUCGGAAUUACUGGGCGUAAAGGGAGCGUAGGCGGACUGUUUAGUCAGAGGUGAAAGCCCAGGGCUCAACCUUGGAAUUGCCUUUGAUACUGGCAGUCUUGAGUACGGAAGAGGUAUGUGGAACUCCGAGUGUAGAGGUGAAAUUCGUAGAUAUUCGGAAGAACACCAGUGGCGAAGGCGACAUACUGGUCCGUUACUGACGCUGAGGCUCGAAAGCGUGGGGAGCAAA
rnacentral:rRNA from 1 species